rnacentral:rRNA from 1 species
GUGGGGAAUUUUGGACAAUGGGCGCAAGCCUGAUCCAGCGACGCCGCGUGGAGGACGAAGGCCUUCGGGUUGUAAACUCCUUUUGGAGGGGAAGAAUAAAUUGACGGUACCCUCAGAAAAAGCCACGGCUAACUACGUGCCAGCAGCCGCGGUAAUACGUAGGUGGCGAGCGUUACUCGGCAUUACUAGGCGUAAAGCGUAUGUAGGUGGUUAGAUAAGUCUAUGGUGAAAUUUCCUGGCUUAACUGGGAAGGGACAUAGAUACUAUCUGGCUUGAGUGUGGGAGGGGGAGACGGAAUUCCUGGUGUAGCGGUGAAAUGCGUAGAUAUCAGGAGGAACACCGAUGGCGAAAGCAGUCUCCUGGCCCAAUACUGACACUGAGGUACGAAAGCUAGGGUAGCAAACAGGAUUAGAUACCCUUGUAGUCC